rfam:Madurella mycetomatis strain mm55 MMYC01_Sc2506, whole genome shotgun sequence.
GCGGGUUUAGCUCAGUUGGGAGAGCGUCAGACUGAAGCCAAACUUCGGGAAAGUCAAUCUGAAGGUCGUGUGUUCGAUCCACACAAACCGCA